GACAGAGGCCUCGAGCGUUAGGCGGAAUCACUGGGCUUAGCGUGUGUAGGCGGAUCGUUAAGUACCUUGUGAAAUCCCACGGCUCAACCGUGGAACGGCUGGGUAUACUGGCGGUCUUGGGCCAUUCAGGGGCGACUGGAACAAGCGGUGGAGCGGUGAAAUGCGUAGAUAUCGCUUGGAACGCCGAAGGUGAAAACAGGUCGCUGGGGAUGUGCCGACGCUGAGACACGAAAGCCAGGGGAGCAAACGGG
rnacentral:rRNA from 1 species